CCCGGCUAACUUCGUGCCAGCAGCCGCGGUAAUACGAAGGGGGCUAGCGUUGCUCGGAAUCACUGGGCGUAAAGGGCGCGUAGGCGGCGUUUUAAGUCGGGGGUGAAAGCCUGUGGCUCAACCACAGAAUGGCCUUCGAUACUGGGACGCUUGAGUCUGGUAGAGGUUGGUGGAACUGCGAGUGUAGAGGUGAAAUUCGUAGAUAUUCGCAAGAACACCAGUGGCGAAGGCGGCUGUCUGGUCCGGUUCUGACGCUGAGGC
rnacentral:rRNA from 14 species